rnacentral:rRNA from 1 species
GAUGAACGCUGGCGGCGUGCUAAACACAUGCAAGUCGAACGAUGAAGCCCAGCUUGCUGGGUGGAUUAGUGGCGAACGGGUGAGUAACACGUGAGUAACCUGCCCUUAACUCUGGGAUAAGCCUGGGAAACUGGGUCUAAUACCGGAUAGGAGCGUCCACCGCAUGGUGGGUGUUGGAAAGAUUUAUCGGUUUUGGAUGGACUCGCGGCCUAUCAGCUUGUUGGUGAGGUAAUGGCUCACCAAGGCGACGACGGGUAGCCGGCCUGAGAGGGUGACCGGCCCCACUGGGACUGAGACACGGCCCAGACUCCUACGGGAGGCAGCAGUGGGGAAUAUUGCACAAUGGGCGCAAGCCUGAUGCAGCGACGCCGCGUGAGGGAUGACGGCCUUCGGGUUGUAAACCUCUUUCAGUAGGGAAGAAGCGAAAGUGACGGUACCUGCAGAAGAAGCACCGGCUAACUACGUG